AGUGAACGCUGGCGGUAGGCCUAACACAUGCAAGUCGAACGGCAGCACAGGAGAGCUUGCUCUCUGGGUGGCGAGUGGCGGACGGGUGAGGAAUACAUCGGAAUCUACUUUUUCGUGGGGGAUAACGUAGGGAAACUUACGCUAAUACCGCAUACGACCUACGGGUGAAAGCAGGGGAUCUUCGGACCUUGCGCGAUUGAAUGAGCCGAUGUCGGAUUAGCUAGUUGGCGGGGUAAAGGCCCACCAAGGCGACGAUCCGUAGCUGGUCUGAGAGGAUGAUCAGCCACACUGGAACUGAGACACGGUCCAGACUCCUACGGGAGGCAGCAGUGGGGAAUAUUGGACAAUGGGCGCAAGCCUGAUCCAGCCAUACCGCGUGGGUGAAGAAGGCCUUCGGGUUGUAAAGCCCUUUUGUUGGGAAAGAAAUCCAUCUGGUUAAUACCCGGGUGGGAUGACGGUACCCAAAGAAUAAGCACCGGCUAACUUCGUGCCAGCCGCCGCGGUAA
rnacentral:rRNA from 1 species